GAGUUCCCUGGAACGGGACGCCAGAGAGGGUGAGAGCCCCGUAUAGUUGGACACCGAGCCUCUGUAAAGCUCCUUCGACGAGUCGAGUAGUUUGGGAAUGCUGCUCAAAAUGGGAGGUAUAUCUCUUCUAAAGCUAAAUACUGGCCAGAGACCGAUAGCGCACAAGUAGAGUGAUCGAAAGAUGAAAAGCACUUUGAAAAGAGGGUUAAAUAGUACGUGAAAUUGUUGAAAGGGAAGCGCUUGUGACCAGACUUGUGCCCGGCUGAUCAUCCAGUGUUCUCACUGGUGCACUCUGCCGGGCUCAGGCCAGCGUCGGUUCUCGCAGGGGGACAAAAGCUUCGGGAACGUAGCUCCUCCGGGAGUGUUAUAGCCCGUUGCUCAAUACCCCUGCGGGGACCGAG
rnacentral:rRNA from 1 species